GAGUAGCUCAGUUGGCAGAGCAUGAGACUCUUAAUCUCAGGGUUAUGGAAUUUGAGCAAAAUACUCCUCAGUUGCA